UUAUACAUACUUAGUACCAAACAGAUAUUAUUUUAUACGUUAUAUCAAAUGUAUAUGUACAUUUACACUAUUUACGAAAGAGCAGUUUCCAGGACCUAUCCCACUACGUGGCAUUUGUCAAAGUUUUUGAUAAUAUAACACGGCCGUUUUCUGAUCGGAAUUAUCGUGCGUAAUAAAACAUUUGUGCUACCGCGAAAACCAUACCAUAUACGCACAAUUAUUCGAAACAGUGGCGUUGUAUUAUGAAAAUCAAAGGUUUUCAUUAUAUAACGCCACUGUUUCGAAUAAUUGUGCGUAUAUAGCAUGGUUUCUCAGUAUAACGAAUGUUUUAUUACGCACAAUAAUUCCGACCAGAAAACGGCCGUGUUAUAUUAUCGAAACCUUUGACGAAUGCCAUGUAGUAGGAUAGGUCCUGGAAACUGCCCUUUCGUAAAUAGUGUAAAUGUACAUAUACAUUUGAUAUAACGUAUAAAAUAAUAUCUGUUUGGUACAUAAUCUUACUUUUUUCAUGUCUAUAAUAUUACUUUUUUCAUGCCUUCGUCCUAAGGCUGAUAUUACAUUUGCCGUACGAUAAUUAUAUCAGCCUAACGAUGUCAUGUUUCACAUGUUCAGGUUAAAUGAUACACUCAUGCACAUCAAUAACAUAUUACGUAACUUAAACAGUGGGAAAAUUAACCGGGAAUUUGCGGAAAAGAUGAUAUUAAUAUCAUGUGUCAUAAUACAAUUAAUAUAAAUAUUCAUUCAAAACUUUGGUAGUCCAAUAGUACACAUGUCUACAUAAACGUUCAUUAAAUUUGCAACAUAACUCUAUUUCCUUCUCGAAACUUCACUGCAUAAGUUCAAAAAAGAAACAGAAUAACCAAACGUGCAAUAAAUGCGGUCGACAGUUUUAUUUGUCACUGAAGUGAUACAAAGCCGAUAUUAUUGAAAUUUUAUAAAUUUUAUGUACAGAUUUUUCAGGCAAAGAAAAUACGAGGCUACUUGUUACACUUAUCGCAAAACACAAAACAUGAUAAAAGAAAAAAGUUUUAUAAUACUUUCGCUGCAUGUAGCAAAAAACAUUUCAGGUUACUGGAUAAAAUUGAGAAUGGAUCGAAAUUUAUCAUAUCAGAGCAAAAUUUAUUGAAUCCCAGUUUCAUUACAACCUCAAUGUUCACCCGUAUAUCACGGCUUAAUGAAAUUUGGUGUUAUUUCGAUGCCACGUUACAAGACUCUGAUAGCGAAGCCAGUUAAAAAUAAAAUCUCGCUUAAAAGAGGCCCGCUUCAUGUAUAUCGAGUUAUGCACACUGUCACAAUAUUCAACUUCAAUAUGACCCACAUUUCCAGUCUUUUAGUUGAGAGCACUAGAUGUAGAAGUGUUGUGUUAGCAAAAACUAUAAAGUGCACACAUUAAGUGCUUUAUCAUAUAUUUCGAAUACUGUCACUACUGUGGCAGAAUGUUAAUAACAAAUUAAGCUACAUAAAUGUAGAGAAGAGCUUCUACAUCUAGUGCUCUCAACUAAAAGACUAGAGAUGUGGAUCGACUUAGAGUUAAACAUUGUGACAGUGUGCGUAAGUCGAUAUACAUGAAACGGGCCUCCUUUAAGCGAGAUUUUAUAUUUAACUGGCUUCGCCAUCAGAGUUUCGUAACGUGGUAUCGAAAUAACAACAGAUUUCAUUGAGCCCGUGAUAUGCGGAUGAACAUUGAGGUUACAAUAAAACUGGUGUUCAAUCAACUUUGCUCUGCUAUGGUAAAUUUCGAUCCAUUCUCAAUUCUAUCUUGUAAUCUGAAAUGCUUUUUGCUGCAUGCAGCGAAAGUAUUAUAGAACUUUUUUCUUUUAUCAUGUUUUGUGAUUUGCGAUAAGUGUAACAAGUAGCUCUGUAUUUUAUUUGCCUGAAAAAUCUGUACAUAGGAUUUAUAAAAUUUCAAUAAUAUCAGCUUUUUAUCACUUCAGUGACAAAUAAAACUGUCGACCGCAUUUAUAGCUUGUUUUGUUAUUUUGUCUCUUAAUCAAAUUUAUACAGUGAAGUUCCGAGAAGGAAGAAGAGUUAUAUUACAAAUUUAAUGAACGUUUAUGUGGACAUGUGUACUGUUGGACUACCAAAUUUCUGAAUGAAUAUGUUUAUAUUAAUUCUAUUAUGAUACGUGAUAUUAAUAUCACCUUUUCCGUCAAUUCCCGGUUAAUUUUUCCACUGCUUAAGUUACGUAAUAUGUUAUUGAUAUGCAGGAUUGUAUCUCAAUCAUUUAACCUAAACAUGUAAAACAUGACAUCGUUAGGCUGAUAUAAUUAUCGUACGGCAAAUGUAAUAUCAGCCUUAGGACGAAGGCAUGAAAAAAGUAAUAUUAUAGACAUGAAAAAAGUAAGAUUAUGUACCAAAUAGAUAUUAUUUUAUACGUUAUAUCAAUUGUAUACAGAGAUGGGCGGCAGUAAUUACUUUUGUCUUCAAAUUACACAUUUAAUUACAAAUUACUUUUACUACUUG